rnacentral:rRNA from 1 species
GAUGAACGCUGGCGGCGUGCCUAAUACAUGCAAGUCGAACGGGUGUAGCAAUACAUUAGUGGCGAACGGGUGAGUAACACGUUGGUGACCUGCCCUAAAGAGGGGAAUACCACUUCGAAAGGAGUGACAAAACCGCAUAAGCUGUAACCAGUCAGAGAAGUUACAGUAAAAGAGCGAUCUACUUUAGGAGGGGCCUGCGGCCCAUCAGCUAGUUGGUGAGGUAAAAGCCCACCAAGGCGAAGACGGGUAGGGGACCUGAGAGGGUGAUCCCCCACAAUGGAACUGAAACACGGUCCAUACACCUGCGGGUGGCAGCAGUAGGGAAUAUUGCUUAAUGGGCGAAAGCCUGAAGCAGCAACGCCGCGUGAACGAAGAAGGCCUUCGGGUCGUAAAGUUCUUUUACGUGGGAUGAGGAAGGACAGUACCACGAGAAUAAGUCUCGGCUAACUACGUG